GUUUAUGUGUCGGGGGGCUAGGGUCAGUUGGUUAUACCUGGAAUACUUCUCCUGCCUUAUCCAGUGUCCUGUGUGAAUUUAAGACCUGAGCCCUAGGACCAUACGUCGGGACUACCGGCCGUGGUGACUCCUUGCUGCCCCCAGUCCGCCUGGCCUUGCUGCUAUUCCAGUUUCAACUCUUCUGCCUGCGGUUAUGGAACCCCUACCUGUCCCAGACCUGCUGUUUUCAACUCUUAAUGAUCGGCUAUGAAAAGCCAACUGAGAUUUAUUCAUGAUUAUUAUUUGACCAUGCUUGUCACUUAUGAACAUUUUUGAACAUCUUGGCAUAGUUCUGUUAUAAUCUCCACCCGGCACAGCCAGAAGAGGACUGGCCACCCCUCAUAGCCUGGUUCCUCUCUAGGUUUCUUCCUAGGUUUUGGCCUUUCUAGGGAGUUUUUCCUAGCCACCGUGCUUCUACACCUGCAUUCUAGCUGUUUGGGGUUUUAGGCUGGGUUUCUGUACAGCACUUCGAGAUAUUAUCUGAUGUACGAAGGGCUAUAUAAAAUAAAAUUGAUUGAUUGAUAUAUUGAGAUUCUUCAAAGUAGCCACCCUUUGCCUUUACAGCUUUGUACACUCCUAGCAUUCUCUCAGCCAGAUUCGUGAGGUGGUCACCUGGAAUGCAUUUCAAUUAACUCAACAUUUAUUUGACACAUGCUAAUUUUAGUGUGUAGCAAUGCUAGUUCCGACAGUGUAGUAUUGUCUAUCAAUUCCCCAACUACCUAAUACACAUAUCUAAAGGUGUGAAUAUGUACAUAUAAGUAUAUGGCCGAGAACAUAGACAAGGUGUAAAAUACAUGUGAUAAAAGUAAUGUAAACAGAGGCAUUAUUUAGUGUGACAUUGUUUAAAGUGGCCAGUGUUUGGGUCUCAAUGUAGGCAGCAGCCUCUGAGUUAGUGAUUGCUGUUGAGCAGUCUGAUGGCCUUGCAAUAGAAGCUGUUUUUCAGUCUCUCGGUCCAAGCUUUGAUGCACCUAUACUGACCUUGCCUUCUGGAUGGUAGCUGUGUGAACAGGCAGUGGCUCGGGUGGUUGAUGUCCUUGAUCUUUUUGGCCUUCCUGUGACAUCGGGUGCUGUAGGUAUCAUGGAGGAUAGGUAGUUUGCCCCCGGUGAUGCGUUGUGCAGACCGCAUCACCCUGUGGAUAGCCUUGCGGUUGAGGGCGGUGCAGUUGCCGUACCAGGCUGUGAUACAGCCCGACAGGAUGCUCUCGAUGGUGCGUGACGUUGGUGUACGUUUAUCAUAUUUUUACAGGGACAGUGCACAUUAAUCAACGUUUCAGUAAAAGUUACGGUUUUAGCCAGCUGGCUAAUUUUCAACCGCAGUCCCUGGGCAGGUUAUUAAAAACAAUUUCAAUAUAGAAAAUCAUUGAGCAGUGAGCACACGCAGAGCAACAUAGGGCAAGACAUAGCAUACAGACAGAGCAACAUAGGAUAAGCAAGAUGUAGCAUUCAGACAGCAGCAACAGAACAAAAAAGCAGCAAGACAAAAUUCAUAAAAGCAAAAAAUUGUUUCCACACCUCACAAGCUACAGACAACAUGGAACGCGACAAUACACAGCUAGGGAUCAUACUUACGUCAGCAGGGUCGCCCGAUUUAAAGAUGGCCGUUAUCAUGGCCGACUUCCAUACUCUUGGAACCACCCCCAGACCAAUAGAUGUGUUUGUGACCUUACUAAUGGGGCCAAUGAGUGACUCUGUCGUUUUUAAGAAAGGUAGAGUCCAGCCCAAACACAUCUUUGGCUUUAGAGUUCUUUAGUGAGCUAAUCACCUUGUUCACCUUUGACUCAGAAACCUCCCUUAUGAUGAAGACAGGUUCAGCGUCAUUCACUAGCAGUGAGCCCAAGAAACCAGUGGAGGGGUUUCGUGUCAGUACCCUGACAGAGUCAAAGUAGGAAUUGAAGGCUAUUGCUAUUUUGACUGCAUCCUGUGUUAGAUCGUUAUUCACCAUGAUUUCUAGUCUUUUUGCAGUGUUACUAUGGUCUUUCCCUGUUAACUCUUUUGGAUUCUCCCAGAUCAAUUUAGAAUUUACCUUUGCUUCACCAAUUAUGUUAAUAAAAAAAGUUUGCCUUG